rnacentral:rRNA from 1 species
CCUACGGGUGGCAGCAGUGAGGAAUAUUGGUCAAUGGCCGCAGGGCUGAACCAGCCAAGUCGCGUGAGGGAUGACGGUCCUAUGGAUUGUAAACCUCUUUUGUCAGGGAGCAAAGGGCGCCACGUGUGGCGCUUUGCGAGUACCUGAAGAAAAAGCAUCGGCUAACUCCGUGCCAGCAGCCGCGGUAAUACGGAGGAUGCGAGCGUUAUCCGGAUUUAUUGGGUUUAAAGGGUGCGCAGGCGGAAUGUCAAGUCAGCGGUAAAAUUUCGGGGCUCAACCCCGUCGUGCCGUUGAAACUGGCGUUCUUGAGUGAGCGAGAAGUAUGCGGAAUGCGUGGUGUAGCGGUGAAAUGCUUAGAUAUCACGCAGAACCCCGAUUGCGAAGGCAGCCUGCCAAGCCAUGACUGACGCUGAUGCACGAAAGCGUGGGGAUCAAACAGGAUUAGAUACCCCAGUAGUC